rnacentral:misc_RNA from 1 species
UUAAAUUCAGGGGGUCUUCCCACUUCAUCUGAGGUCUAAUUCAUAGAUGAUGCAAAGUUGUUUACUCAAAACGUGUUGCCACGCCUCAAGUGCACUCCUUCGUUUCAUAUGUUUCUUGGGCUACUCGACAUAGGGUCAGUGGAUUGAAUUCACAGUUAAGUGAAAGCAACUUGCCACGAACACACACAGUCGUGCGGCUG